AAUAAAUUUUUUAUGGUUUAAUAAUUUAUUAUAAAUUUAUUUUACAUAUAAAUUUUAGUGUUAAUUUUUAAUUAUUUUAAUAAUAUUUAAAUUAAAUUUUGUAGUAAUUAAUAUUAAAAAUUUAAGAAAUUAAGGUUUAGUAAUAUUUAAAUUAAUAACAAAUUUUGUGCCAGCAGUUGCGGUUAAACAAAAGUUAAAUUAAAUUUUAUUAGUAAUUAAUAUAUAAUUUUAUAAUAUUUAAUUAAAUAUAAAAUUAUUAGGUGAAAUUUUUAUUUUAUUUAAUUUAAUUUUUUUUUUAUAAUUUAAUAAAUUUUAUUUAUAAACUAGGAUUAGAUACCCUAUUAUUAAAAAUUUAAAUUAAAAAUACUAAAAUAGUAUAUAAUUAUUUAUUGAAACUUAAAUAAUUUGGCGGUAUUUUAGUUCAUUUAGAGGAAUCUGUUUAUUAAUUGAUAAUCCACGAAUAAAUUUACUUAAUUUAUAAUUUUGUAUAUCGUUGUUAAAAAAAUAUUUUUAAAUAAUAAUAAUAUUUUAAAAUUAUAAAAAAAAAAUUAAAUCAGAUCAAGAUGCAGAUUAUAAUUAAGAAUAUAAUGGAUUACAAUAAAUUUAUUUAAAUGAAUAUUAAUUUUUAAAAAUUAAUUGAAGGUGGAUUUAAAUGUAAUUUUAUUUAGUUUAAUAAAGUGAUUUUAAAUUAAAAUAUGUACAUAUUGCCCGUCGCUUUCAUAAAUAAAUUGGAAUAAGUCGUAACAAAGUAGAGAUACUGGAAAGUGUUUCUAGAAAUAA
rnacentral:ncRNA from 1 species